GAUGAACGCUGGCGGCGUGCCUCAAACAUGCAAGUCGAGCGAGGCUAUGAAUUACCGCAAGGUAAGGCAUAGCCUAGCGGCGAACGGGUGAGUAACACGUGGGUAACCUACCUGGAAGACAGGGAUAACGAUUCGAAAGGGUCGCUAAUACCUGAUAAUAUCCAUCUGCCGGAUGGCGGAGGGAAGAAAGGGGAAACCCGCUUUCAGAUGGGCCCGCGUCCCAUCAGCUAGUUGGUAAGGUAAAGGCUUACCAAGGCGACGACGGGUAGCCGGUCUGAGAGGAUGUACGGCCACACUGGGACUGAGAUACGGCCCAGACUCCUACGGGAGGCAGCAGUUGGGAAUCUUAGGCAAUGGACGAAAGUCUGACCUAGCGACGCCGCGUGAGGGAAAAGGCCUUCGGGUUGUAAAGUUCUUUUCUAUACGAGCAGUGCUAUAUAUAUGGAUAGUAUAUAUAGAGGAUAGUAGUAUAGGAAUAAGCAACGGCUAACUCGUGCCAGC
rnacentral:rRNA from 1 species